GAACACAAGGUCGAGAAGUACCCUUGUGGUACGUUUUGUGAUGAGUGAUUGUCAACGUGAUCCACGAAUAGGUUGAGUUGGUGACUAACAUUACCAUGGCGAAAGCUACGUGUGCGACAUGUCUCUUGGCUUGUGGUGUUCAGCUGUGGAGCUCGGAGGCGGUGGUCGACGGCGAGGUGAAGGUCAAGUAGAGACGUGCCGUGCUGAUGGACCUGGAGCGGUGAAGGACGGACGUGAGGCUUGGACUGACGGACCAGGAGGCCGGGUGACCAGCCGUAGUGGCUGACAUCUGGGACAUCGACAAGUGCGAGUGUACAUGGGAGUGACCGUGUUGACCAAGUCAAGACGGCAGACGCGAGUCGAGCGAGGCUCAGGAGGACUUAGCGGGCCGGCCAGUCGAGGACGGCGGUGACACGUGUCGAGUGGCGGGGAAGCAUAUGGAGUACGCUACUCGUGGCGGGUUUCGCGGGUUUGGGCCUCAAAACCCGGGCGGAGGUCCCGAUGCGGACGGAUGGCACGUGGCGGCAUCGAUGAGAUCGCUUCGGAGCGAGGCUACCGGUGAGGAGGCGCGGUGGCCGUCGGAUUUAGGUCAUGUCGAGUUGGACUAGAAUGC
rnacentral:lncRNA from 1 species